GAUCCUGGCUCAGGAUGAACGCUGGCGGCGUGCUUAACACAUGCAAGUCGAGCGAAGCAAUUUAAGUGAAGUUUUCGGAUGGAUCUUAGAUUGACUGAGCGGGCGGACGGGUGAAGGUAACGCGUGGAUAACCUGCCUCACACAGGGGGAUAACAGUUAGAAAUGACUGCUAAUACCGCAUAAGCGCACAGUACCGCAUGGUAUAGUGUGAAAAACUCCGGUGGUGUGAGAUGG
rnacentral:rRNA from 1 species